ensembl:rRNA 5S_rRNA 5S ribosomal RNA
UCUUACGGCCAUACCAGCCUGAAUACCCCGAUCUCGUCCGAUCUCGGAAGCUAAGCAGGUCGGGCCUGGUUAGUACUUGGAUGGGAGACCGCCUGGGAAUACCAGGUGCUGUAAGCU